UGAGCUGGUCAGGCUGGACCGUGACCACAACGAACCGGCCGCCAUCAAUCAACCCUACCAUCGUCGACCCCAGCAGACAGCGAGCAAUAGCAUUUCGCCGCCGCCGCCGCCGCCAUGCUCCGCCUCCAAAAGCGGCUGCUCUCCCUCCUCCGCAACGGCAGCGCCGUCCCUCUCCCCACGUCCACCCUCCACCGCCACCUCGCCGCCACCGCGUCCACCUCCACCGGAUCCCCUUUCUCCGUCGAGGACUACCUCGUCACCUCCUGCGGCCUCACCCGGGCCCAAACCGUCAGGGCGUCCAAGCACCUCUCCCACCUCAAGUCCCCCUCCAACCCCGACGCCGUCCUCGCCUUCCUCUCCAGCCUCGGCCUCUCCGGCUCCGACGUCGCCGCCGUCGUCUCCGCCGACCCGCGGUUCCUCUGCUCCAAGGUGGACGAGACCCUCGCCCCGCGCGUCGCCCAGCUCCGCGAUCUCGGCCUAUCCGAUUCCGACAUCGCGCGCCUCAUCUUGGUCGGCGCCCCCGUGCUCCGCUCCUGCGACAUCGCCAGCAGGCUCCAGUUUUGGAUCCCGCUAGUUGGCUCCUUCGACGAGUUGAUCCAUCUCACAUCCAGGGGGGCUCUAGGAGGUUCUUCCAUCCUAAGGCGUGACAUUGACGCUGUGGUUAAGCCCAACAUUGAACUUCUUCUGCGGUGCGGGUUAAGUAUCCGUGAUCUCGCCAAGACCGGUCUCAGUGGGAUGUGGGCGAUUGUCAGCAGCCCGGAUAAACUCAAGGUGUUAGUCAGACGCGCGGAGGAGCUCGGAGUACCGCGUGGCUCAGGGCAGUUCAAGUAUGCGCUUGCAACUGUCUCCUGCAUGAGCCAGGAGAAGAUUGCUUCAAAAAUAGAGUUGCUGAAGAAGGCCCUUGGGUGCUCUGACGACCAGGUGAAGUUCGCGGUCGUCAAGCACCCAAGCAUCCUAAGAGCAUCUGAUGGCAACCUGCGCAGUACGGUGGAGUUCCUCGUCACCAAGGUUGGUCUUGAGCCAAAUUACAUUGUGCACAGGCCUGGACUGUUGAGUUACAGCCUGGAGGGGAGGCUGGUACCUCGAUUUAUCAUCAUGAAGAUACUGCACAGCAAGGGGAUAAGUGUUGACUAUUGCUCAAUGGCUGUUGCGACUGAAAGUUACUUCAUUUCAAGAUAUAUCGACUAUUACGAGGAGAGUGUUCCCACGCUCGCAGAUGUUUAUGCCGCAGCUCGUGCAGGGAAAAUACCCUCUGAACUUCAACCUUGACACCUUUCUAGGGAUUUUGAAGGUUCAUUCCAUUGUUCAUGGUAAUAGCCAUUCACUUAGCAUUGUUGUCAUUUCAUAAUCUUUGUUUGAUUUUAGCAAUGAUGCUGAAACAGAAUUGCCGCUGAUCUUAUUAACGGUACCAUGACAAGUUCCAUUUGCUGAUACCAUCGUGCAUUCGAAAUUCUGAAUUUAUUGCCCAUCUCUCACAGUUUUGUUGGUUGAUAUCCAUGAACUACUAAUUGAAUUAGGGGGAAAUAGUGGCAUGACACAUUAAGUGUGGUAUUUGCCAAGAUGGAUUGCCUUGGCCGAAUGCUGCAGAUCUUAAUGUUGCUCACUACAUAGCAGUAUGUUUGUUUAAUCGGGUAGAAAAUUUCUGUUUUGAGACAUUAGAGAUGGAGGGGGAGGGAAAUGAAUGAAGUAUUUCCCUGGAUUGGUCGCAAUGAACUUGGCUGAUCCGAUGAGGUUUAAUGAUGGGUUAUACUAGCUUUGAGCGAGGAAUACAGUGUGUCAUUGGAGAUUGGAACUUGUCAGUUGGCCACCAAACUAGAGUUUUUUAAUCUUCUUCGCUAGCUCCUGAGAAGCUCCUUUGCGCCUUGAAGAAGAGGGGUGUUUCUGCUAGUCUUCGGUCCAGAGAGCAUCAGGGUGUAGCUACUGCACAUUGAGGACAGGCGCCAAAUGUAGCUGACUUGUAUGUAUGUUGCAUCACCUAGGAGAAUAUUGUUUAAACAGGAGAAGCUCGCCUGAAGCUCCAAAAUGCCUCUGAAGCUCACCUAAAGCUCCUAAAUGCUCUGAAGCUCGCCUUAAGCUCCUAAAUGCCUCUGAAGCUCGCUUGAAGCUCCUAAUUCCUAAAUGCCUCUGAGAAGCUGCGGCAAACAGCAGAUUUUCUGGUCGACGAUGUCAAUCUUGACCAGGGAGCAGAUCAAUGUUCUUCCAAGCUAAUAACUCAACUAUGGCUACCAGCAAAAAGGAAAAGAAGAAAAGGCACGGCUAUGGAGGUAUAGCAGUAUAUGCCACAGAGUUCAUGAACAAUAUAGCGAUCCCUGGCUGGUAUCUCCUCUUUUCAGAAGUCCACCAUACGCGAUUGCUCUGCCUCUGUGGAUGUUCCCUGGCAAGCUCCCCCGGAGGGCUGGACAAAGUUGAAUAUUAAUGGCAGCUUCCUUGCUGCCACGGGCGAAGGGGGAGCUGGGAUGAUCCUAAAAGACAGCAUUGGAGCAACGUUGUUCAGUGCUGUCCGUUAUUUGCCGUUCUGGGGAGAUGCUUUUGAGGCCGAAUUGGCUGCAUGCAUGGAGGGCUCCAACGGACUGAGCUGCCGAUUCAAGUGGAGACUGAUUGCGCCCAACUUAUUGUUCAGGUCCAAACUCAUGAACUUGACAGGUCUCGGUACUGUAGCCUUGUUAAGGAGGUGCAGCGCUUGUUAGCCUCACAAAGAGAAAUUAAGUUGUCUAAAUUUCAGAGGUCACAAAAUAGUGUUAGUCAUGACUUAGCAAAUUAUGCUCGGUCUAGCGAGUCGGACAUUGGGAGUAAUCCCCUAGAGGAUGUCCCAGAUGUAACAGUUUUGUGAUCAAUGAGAUCUCUCUUUUUCGAGAAAAAAA